UUUUUCUUCUUUUUAUUUUUUGCUUUUUAUUUCUUGUCUGUGAAAGUUUAAUUGAAGUUUGGGUGUGGGAAAUUGAAAGUGGCAAUAUAGCAUUUAUUAGAAUGUAUAGAGAUUGUUUUAAAUUUUAAGAUUUUAGAAUUUCUUUUAAUUAUAAAUAUUAAAUAUGUAAUUUUUUAUGUAAUAUGUAUUAGAAUAAUAAUAUUUUUUAAAAUCCUUUUAAAUAUCCAAUAAAAUUCUGAUAAACAGAAAAUAUAUUUAACUACAAUUUUGUAAUUUAUAUUUUGACGAGAAUAAUAAAAUUAAAUAAUAAUAAUUAAUCAAAUAGUAGUAAAAAUAUAGAAAAAAGAAAUAAAACAUUAUAGUUAUCUAAUAAUGUUAUAACAGAUUUCUCCUUUACCAUUGCUAACUAUUGAACUAUUGAAUAUCAGAUAAAAUUCAAAAUAUAAUAUUAUUAUAUUAAUUUUAAACUUCGUAAAUUUAUUUGAAGUGUAUUAAACACCGUUAACGAAUGAAUGAAAAAAAUAAAAAUCUAAAUCAAUUUAGCUUUGUCAAUGAACAGUUAAAAUCAUCUGUACGAAAAGAAGGAAAGCAAAGAAGAGAGGCCGUUAACCUAAAUAUCUCGAUCAGAUCUGACUAAGCAUUGGCGCACAUCCUCUCACGCGCAUCAUUAUCGCGAUCACCCGGUUCUCAUUCUCUCUCUUUAUCUCCCGUUACGAUUUCCUCUACUUUCAGAUAACUAAUUAAAUGAAUUUAAAACUCUCCUUUCACAUGAUUACGUGAAAUUCUUCGAAAUUUCUAUUUCAUUGCCCAACAUUAAAACAGAAGAAUGAAAAAAUGACAAUGUGAAUCAGUUAGAUUGAUUUUUUUAUGAAAGUAUUAAUAUACAACGACUAAUUAGUAUAAUGAAAAGGAAAUUCGAAAAUGAAAGAUGAAAAGUGAGAAUCGAUGAUGUUCGUCCUUGUUCGUUAGUGAAUUGAAUAAAAAUGGAAAGUGUAUUGUUGCAAUUUAUCGAUUUAAUUGUGUGUUAAUUUCGAUCGCGUGAAGGUUAGGAUUGACCCAAGGUUCAGACACCUGCCAACCAGUUAACAGGAUUUGACGUUGGAAAAUUCCAAACAUUAUUAAAUCACCACUUCGCUCACUGAUUCGAUGCGAUGUAAUAGAUUUUAUGGAUGAGGAAGCAUACGUCGUUUCGUUUUAUACAUUCAUAGCUGAUGACAUAUGUAUAAUUGAUGCAAACGAUGUACAAGAAUAAUUUUGCUAGAAUAACUGAGUUUAAUUAGAACAAGAUGGCUUUAGUGCCCUAGUGAAUGAAUUGAUGAGUCAGACUGAAUUCUUAAUUACCGGAUGUUUGUCGCCCUUGACACCGGAGUUUCGCCAGAUGAGCACGGACAAUAUAUGUAAUGUGUAUACGCCUUGAACUCCUCUUUGUAAAAACCUUUCUUUUAGUGGACGAAUUAUAGAUUAAAAACUUCCGUCGUUCUGUGUAUUCUCAGAAAAGAUGUACGCAAUACGAAUAAAAUGAUCGGGCCAAA